rnacentral:lncRNA from 1 species
AGGCCUCCCUGGAGCACGAGGAGGGCAAGAUCCUCCGGGCCCAGCUGGAGUUCAACCAGAUCAAGGCAGAGAUCGAGCGGAAGCUGGCAGAGAAGGACGAGGAGAUGGAACAGGCCAAGCGCAACCACCUGCGGGUGGUGGACUCGCUGCAGACCUCCCUGGACGCAGAGACACGCAGCCGCAACGAGGCCCUGAGGGUGAAGAAGAAGAUGGAAGGAGACCUCAAUGAGAUGGAGAUCCAGCUCAGCCACGCCAACCGCAUGGCCGCCGAGGCCCAGAAGCAAGUCAAGAGCCUCCAGAGCUUGUUGAAGGACACCCAGAUUCAGCUGGACGAUGCAGUCCGUGCCAACGACGACCUGAAGGAGAACAUCGCCAUCGUGGAGCGGCGCAACAACCUGCUGCAGGCUGAGCUGGAGGAGUUGCGUGCCGUGGUGGAGCAGACAGAGCGGUCCCGGAAGCUGGCGGAGCAGGAGCUGAUUGAGACUAGUGAGCGGGUGCAGCUGCUGCAUUCCCAGAACACCAGCCUCAUCAACCAGAAGAAGAAGAUGGAUGCUGACCUGUCCCAGCUCCAGACUGAAGUGGAGGAGGCAGUGCAGGAGUGCAGGAAUGCUGAGGAGAAGGCCAAGAAGGCCAUCACGGAUGCCGCCAUGAUGGCAGAGGAGCUGAAGAAGGAGCAGGACACCAGCGCCCACCUGGAGCGCAUGAAGAAGAACAUGGAACAGACCAUUAAGGACCUGCAGCACCGGCUGGACGAAGCCGAGCAGAUCGCCCUCAAGGGCGGCAAGAAGCAGCUGCAGAAGCUGGAAGCGCGGGUGCGGGAGCUGGAGAAUGAGCUGGAGGCCGAGCAGAAGCGCAACGCAGAGUCGGUGAAGGGCAUGAGGAAGAGCGAGCGGCGCAUCAAGGAGCUCACCUACCAGACGGAGGAGGACAGGAAAAACCUGCUGCGGCUGCAGGACCUGGUAGACAAGCUGCAGCUAAAGGUCAAGGCCUACAAGCGCCAGGCCGAGGAGGCGGAGCAAGCCAACACCAACCUGUCCAAGUUCCGCAAGGUGCAGCACGAGCUGGAUGAGGCAGAGGAGCGGGCGGACAUCGCCGAGUCCCAGGUCAACAAGCUGCGGGCCAAGAGCCGUGACAUUGGCACGAAGGGCUUGAAUGAGGAGUAGCUUUGCCACAUCUUGAUCUGCUCAGCCCUGGAGGUGCCAGCAAAGCCCCAUGCUGGAGCCUGUGUAACAGCUCCUUGGGAGGAAGCAGAAUAAAGCAAUUUUCCUUGAAGCCG